GAUGAACGCUGGCGGCGUGCCUAAUACAUGCAAGUCGAGCGAACGGACGAGAAGCUUGCUUCUCUGAUGUUAGCGGCGGACGGGUGAGUAACACGUGGAUAACCUACCUAUAAGACUGGGAUAACUUCGGGAAACCGGAGCUAAUACCGGAUAAUAUUUUGAACCGCAUGGUUCAAAAGUGAAAGACGGUCUUGCUGUCACUUAUAGAUGGAUCCGCGCUGCAUUAGCUAGUUGGUAAGGUAACGGCUUACCAAGGCAACGAUGCAUAGCCGACCUGAGAGGGUGAUCGGCCACACAGGAACUGAGACACGGUCCAGACUCCUACGGGAGGCAGCAGUAGGGGAUCUUCCGCAAUGGGCGAAAGCCUGACGGAGCAACGCCGCGUGAGUGAUGAAGGUCUUCGGAUCGUAAAACUCUGUUAUUAGGGAAGAACAUAUGUGUAAGUAACUGUGCACAUCUUGACGGUACCUAAUCAGAAAGCCACGGCUAACUACGUG
rnacentral:rRNA from 1 species